GGUGGCUUAAUGGUAGAGUGUUUGCCUAGCAUGCAUGAAGCCCUGAGUUCCAUCCUCAGUACCA
rnacentral:tRNA from 1 species